CUCACAGAAGCCUGGAGCUGGGCAUCCAAGAAGAAGCAGCCUCAUUUGUUUUCUGGUGUCAUCGUAGGUGGCCACCUAUGGCUUUUGGGCUUCUCACCUGGGGCGGGUGGGUUCUGCACCACCCUCCCACCCUCCUUCCUCCGUGUGGACGAUAGAGCCACAUCCAGCACCACGGACAGCUCCCGGGCGAUCCCAUGGGAGUAGAAGAGGUGUGAGCAGGUUGCCCAGCUGGUUAGCGGAAAUGCCAAGAUCCAGGCUCCUGAAUUUCAGCCUGGCCCUUUCUAUCUGUCUGAUACCUCCUUUACGAGUCUCUCUGCCUGCGUUGUGUGGAGCGGGCCUGCUGCUGGUUGGGGGAGUUUGCAGGUUGCCCCUAUGCAAAAAAGGACAGGAUGCAUGACUGGCAUGUAAGGUGUUCAGGAAAACCAGGAAAAGCCUUCAUCUCCUCGUCCUCCAGGCAGCACAAGCCAUUGUGGAAUCUCCACCAGGUGUACAGAACGGUGCCUCUGCGUCCUGCCACUCAGGACCUCUCAAGUCCCCGAUGUGAUGGCUCCUCAGCAUGAUCAGGAGAAAUUCCAUGAUCUUGCUUAUUCCUGUCUUGGGAAGUCCUUCUCCAUGUCUAACCAAGAUCUAUAUGGCUAUAGCACCAGCUCUUUGGCUCUUGGCUUGGCAUGGCUAAGUUGGGAGACCAAAAAGAAGAAUGUACUUCAUCUGGUUGGGCUGGAUUCCCUCUGAUAAGCCUUCCCAGUUGACUGAAAGAUGAGGCUAGGCUCUAGCAAGUUGAAGUCAAACCAGCUCCUUCAAGAAGCUUUGAGCAGAAUGAAGUGGGGAGGACCCAGCUUCCAGCCCAGGAAGCCCACUGUACCUGGAGCCAUCUGGGAUAAGACUUUGACCCAUGACUCCCAUAUCCACAGCCUGUCCAUCCUAGCCCAUCCCAGUUUAUCCUGUAUCAUUUGAGCUGGGAUUCCCACAUCCUCUGAGUUGGAAGUCCCAUCUCAAGUCUUCAAUAAAGACUCUUGAAUAUUGAAUCAC
rnacentral:lncRNA from 1 species